ensembl:lncRNA
UUCGCUGCAACAAUCUCAGAGCUCUUUCUCUGUUCUGUGGGUGAUGCAUGGUUAUUGCUAAUUAGUGGCUCAGUUGGUAGAGGCUCAUUUACCAACUGGAAGAUCAGUGUAUCGAUCACUGGCUCCUGUAGUCUGCGUGCCAAAGUAUCCUCGGUUUCAGGAGUCAGUACAGCUACAAAGCUUUUUGGCUACGUUCACACUGCAGGCAAAAGCUCAUCAAAUCCGACUUUUUUGACCCUAUGCGACCCAUAUCCGAUCAUGAAAGCAACUGCUGUUUGAACGGUCAUGUCGCUGACACAAGACAGACGCCAAUUAUCAGCGCCGGAGAAGACAUCGCGAACGCUUCCUGGCCAUCCAGUGUAGAUGUCAGUGAAACUGUUGGGAAGACAACGUUGGAGAAACGUGAACAUUUUAUUUGUACUGUAUAAUCUGCAGAUUCUGACAGAAAUCUGCAACUAUCCUUUGAAGCACCGCUUCUCUAAAACAGCAACAAGGAUCAUUAUUAGGACAUAUGUAAAUAACAAAAUAACUUUAUAAAAAGCAAAAUUGGGAAACAAAGUCCGAGGCAAGUCUUUAUACUAAGGGCCAUCAAUCAAACAGCACUGUUUGGUCUGGGUCUAAACAGAGCACGUUGUGUGUGAAUUGAAGAAAGGCAUACACAAAGCUCUUCCUCCACAGCUCUUAAUCUCUCCCUGAUUUUUAGUUUUUGUGGCAGCCAUGUUCGAAAAGCUUUGCUCACAUAUGUUGUGGAAAAUGGGAGCAAUGUCAAAAUGUCUCUGUUUGCCAGAAUGGGGAACUCCUUGGCAGCAGUCAACCAAAAACUGUCCAAAGAUAGAUCAGCAAAGCUCAGCUUUAAACCACGGUCUUGUCUCAGUUCAGUUAGUUCCUCCUGUUCCUGAAAAGUCAUAUCCUUUCCGAAAACUGCUGCUGAGCUAUAUGGGUCCCUUACCCAGUCAAGGCAUUCAGUGGAGACUGAGGGGAAAUAAAUGGACAACUUCUCCUCAAGCGUUUUCAAAUGUUUACCUAUUAUUUCACACAGUGUGGCAGUUUUGAUAUCUCCUUGCCAUUUCUGAGUGAGUGGGGACAUGCCAAGGUUGGCAUUUUCCAGAUGUUGUUGCCAGAGAUGCACCUUUGAACGUAAUCCAUUUAUUUUAUCUGUGCUUGUGAGCAGUACCAAUCGGACUGAUGAAACAAAGAGCAAUUUCUAGAAUGGAAAGAAAUGAGCAGUUCACUUUUAAAUGAUCCACAUUUAUUUUUUCUACAUGCAGCCUGGGUGGGGUGAUUUUGAGGACCCAAAAUGCAGACAAGAAAUACAGGCAGUAGUUUAAAAAUAGGUAAUUUAUUUGGCUGUGAAAAAUGAGAUGCAAACAAAGACUGCGUGAAAGGAGGGAAUUUAAGACUAAAUACAAAUGAGAUAAAAUCAAUGCAAAGGAGAUAAGAAGAUAAAUAUACAGAAUGUGAGAAACAAUAACUAAAUGGGGAAACACAGAAACAGGAAUGAACUUCAAUUUUAACAAAUAACUAGAGAAUGGAACAAACACAGGGAACAGAAUGCAACCAGGAACUAACAACUCGAGGCUAAAUAAAGUAAGGCAGCCAUUCAUAAAGUCAAGAGUGCUGCUGUCCACUUAAAAACCAGAAAAUGACAAUAUUCUUCACUUGAAUCAAACUACAAAAGAAAGUGACAUUGAUUUUAAAACUGUAUUUAAAAAAAAUCAUCAACAACAGAGGCUGCUGGCUCUAAAUUGCUGCCCAGUCAUGUGCAAAGUGUUAAUGCUGAUGAUGUGACCAACCUGCCGCUGGGACACAAAAUUUCAAUACAAGGGCAAUAAAUCUGGUCCAGGGUAAUGAGUAAUAUUACACACUAACCACCUCCUAUUACCAAUUUUAUUUUGCCAAAUCCGUUUAUACAUGUGUGUAACUCUGUAUUUCUGUUACUACUGUGGCCCACCUGUAGUACAUUUGCAGUCCACAAGGGGUCGUUGGCCCACACUAUGGGAAUAACGCAGUAAGGAAAUACAUGGAGAAGCAAAUAUAAACAAUAAGCAAAUAAAGAAUGAAAAAAAAGUUUAAAUAAAGAAAACUUGUAUGAUGAUGGUGAGGGACAUGAUGGGCUGGCAGAGCAACAGUUUCCAUUAAAGACUCGGACAGAAACCUGCAAAAGCACACUGAUGGUAAACAACAU